rnacentral:ribozyme from 17 species
AUUAUGCAAAUAUAUAUUUCGUGUAUACUAAGAAGAAGUCAAAGAUUUCGUUUAGCGUAUCUUUGUUGUUAUCAUUGUUCUUAUCUUCUAUUUUUCCAUUUUCCAUUUUCUAUUGUUUCUUUUUUUCUGUUUUGGUGGUGAUAUU